rnacentral:tRNA from 1 species
GGGCGCAUAGCUCAGCGGUUAGAGCGCUGCCCUUACAAGGCAGAUGUCGGCGGUUCAAAUCCGUCUGUGCCCACCA